GUCCCACACGUUUAAAGAUGUCAUCACAUGUUCCGGGGUCCGGUUUGACAACAAGUGGACUUGGAAGUUCAGUCUGUAAUGAAUUAGAGAUAACAACUAACUGGAAUGGAUGCGGUGGUCUCGAUGGGAGUGAAAUCCCCGCACGUGGAACAGGCUUUAAACACAGCACGAGAAGCAGCCACACAAACAGAUUUCAGAGGAGUGAGCAUCCAUUGCCCUCAAGAGAUAGAGGAGCAAUGCUUUCCUCGCUGAACCCAGCUCUGGUUUGAUCCUCAAGAUGAAGAAACCCAAUUUAUCCCCCGGAGUAUGAGAAUUCCCCAUCAUCCUCUCCAAAUACACACCAGUGACUUGGAUCCAUCAAAUGGCUCCUGGAGACUUUAUUGUUGACUGGAUUGGAGCCUAACCCAGACUACUGCCAAAUUCUCGGUAUCCUCAAGUGGCUGCAGUAGCUAUUUUGAACUUAACAAGUGCGACCACUGGAUGACAAGUGGUGAGAAACACUUCAUAUUACAAACACAGUUGAUGGCUCAGAGCAGGCAUGGUUCAUAAUCACCGUGGCACUUUGCUGCGCUGCUUCAUCAUCAACUAUGGUGGCUGGCUCCCUGUGUCAGCAGUUGAGACAAUGGCAGUGUGUGCAUGAGGGUGAAUGUGUGUUUAUGUUUGUGUGUGUG